GACGAACGCUGGCGGCGUGCUUAACACAUGCAAGUCGAACGGAAAGGCCCUGCUUUUGUGGGGUGCUCGAGUGGCGAACGGGUGAGUAACACGUGAGUAACCUGCCCUUGACUUUGGGAUAACUUCAGGGAACUGGGGCUAAUACCGGAUAGGAGCUCCUGCUGCAUGGUGGGGGUUGGAAAGUUUCGGCGGUUGGGGAUGGACUCGCGGCUUAUCAGCUUGUUGGUGGGGUAGUGGCUUACCAAGGCUUUGACGGGUAGCCGGCCUGAGAGGGUGACCGGCCACAUUGGGACUGAGAUACGGCCCAGACUCCUACGGGAGGCAGCAGUGGGGAAUAUUGCACAAUGGGCGGAAGCCUGAUGCAGCAACGCCGCGUGCAGGAUGACGGCCUUCGGGUUGUAAACCGCUUUCGCCUGUGACGAAGCGUGAGUGACGGUAAUGGGUAAAGAAGCACCGGCUAACUACGUG
rnacentral:rRNA from 1 species